rnacentral:rRNA from 1 species
UACGUAGGGUGCAAGCGUUAAUCAGAAUUACUGGGCGUAAAGCGUGCGAAGGCGGUCUGUUAAGACAGAUGUGAAAUCCCGGGCUCAACCUGGGAACUGCAUUUGUGACUGGCAGGCUAGAGUAUGGCAGAGGGGGGUGGAAUUCCGCGUGUAGCAGUGAAAUGCGUAGAUAUGCGGAGGAACACCGAUGGCGAAGGCAGCCCCCUGGGCCAAUACUGACGCUCAUGCACGAAAGCGUGGGGAGCAAACAGG